CCUCACUGGGAGGUGUCCAAGCAGCCAGCUCUGCAAAGAUGCAGGCUGACAUGGGAUAACUCUGGGGUCAAAGAUGUUCUUCUGAGAAAGGAGCUUCACCAGUGCCUGGGGUGUGUCCGUAAGACAACCACCAGCAAGGCAGCCUCUGCUUUCCAGACAAGUGAUACCCCAUGGUUUGGGCAUGUCCCACAGCAAGCAGGCUUGGAGAGAGUGUCCUUUUCCCCCAGAGUUGAGGGAGAACCUGGAACAUGUCCCCGUCCCUCUGGACAGGUGUGUCCAGCAGGAGGCUGUUGGAGAAGGACAGGGAUUGUGUGAAAUGUUAGGUGUAAGUGGUGGUUUUGGGCUGAAACUGCUUCAGGUGGUUAAAAGGUAAAACUGAGGUUCUUUCCUGGGUUGUUCUCCUGAAUUCCCUUGAAACCAUUCCAUUGAAAUGGUAUUUAGCAUCUUGGAACCACAUAGACACAAGGGAGGAUUAUACAACCAUAAUCCUGAUGGCACUAAGCCUGAGAACUGCUGCUUGUAAGGGAAGAACACACCGUAUUUGUUCGAGGAGCUCCUGUUCUCUGCUCUGGUACUUCCAGUCCUGGUACAAAAACUGCAGCUCUAAAAACCCCAGCAAGAACAUGGCAGAGAGGAGGAGGAAAUUCUGCAGCUGUUACAGGAUGGGGGUGGGAUCGAUAAGCACAUGAACAUCAGUUUUUAAUUUUAACUCACAUCUAUUUAUUAGCUGAGUGGUAAAUUGCAGCUCAAAAGAGGAGGAAGAAGGGAGAACAAUAAGUUUUACAUCUGUCACUUUGCCUACUCUUUCCAUCAGUGUGGUUUCAGUGGGAUCAAGCAUCUUCUAAAAUAGCACUUAGAAGUGAUGUUGGAAAUUGAUCUUAAUUUGAUGACACUGGCAGAAGCUCACGGGUUUUCUUGCCAUGUAUAGAAUGCCAGCAGAUUCAGGCAACACACUAAAAAAGGACAUUUAGCUUUAAUAGUGUGCUUUGAUAUCACGUUUCCUUGUAAAAGAGUAACUUACUCCAGCCUUCAUGCUGCAGGACUUGACAGUACAAUAUAAUUUCAGAUUGCAAAGGAAUAUUAGUUUCCAGUCCAAUAUCCCUAAAUUUGUAAUGAAUUGGCAAGCUUAUAGGAGUCAUCAUCCAACAGUUAUUACAUUAUCUAGAUCAUGCUAGCGAUGAAAUGUGGUGUGAAGUAGCAGUUAACUUCAGCAGGGACAGCAGUGGCAUUUCCAUUAAAGCUUUCUGAUUUUGA